rnacentral:ribozyme from 1 species
UGCCCAGCAACUCCUAUCCCUACCUCCACGCGGUACCGGCCGGAAACUAUGAGCAACCUUAGGGAAGAUCGGGUAACCAACCCCGGUGGGACCUUUGGUCGUAGGCUGACAGGGAAGA